rnacentral:rRNA from 1 species
UACAGAGGGUGCAAGCGUUAAUCGGAAUUACUGGGCGUAAAGCGUGCGCAGGCGGUUUUGUAAGUCUGUCGUGAAAUCCCCGGGCUCAACCUGGGAAUUGCGAUGGAGACUGCAAGGCUAGAAUCUGGCAGAGGGGGGUAGAGUUCCACGUGUAGCAGUGAAAUGCGUAGAGAUGUGGAGGAACACCGAUGGCGAAGGCAGCCCCCUGGGUCAAGAUUGACGCUCAUGCACGAAAGCGUGGGGAGCAAACAGG